GACGACGCUGGCGGCGUGCCUAACACAUGCAAGUCGAACGAAGCAUAGCAAUAUGCUUAGUGGCGGACGGGUGAGUAACGCGUGAACAAUCUGCCCUGUACAAAGGAAUAGCCUCGGGAAACCGGGAUUAAAACCGUAUGACACUUUAGUAUCGCAUGAUAAGAAAGUCAAAUCGAAUAGAGGUAUGGGAUGAGUUCGCGUCUGAUUAGCUGGUUGGCGGGGUAACGGCCCACCAAGGCGACGAUCAGUAGCCGGCCUGAGAGGGUGAACGGCCACACUGGAACUGAGACACGGUCCAGACUCCUACGGGAGGCAGCAGUGGGGAAUAUUGCACAAUGGAGGGAACUCUGAUGCAGCGACGCCGCGUGAGUGAAGAAGGCCUUCGGGUCGUAAAGCUCUGUCAGAGGGGAAGAAAUGCAGGGGCGCUAAUAUCGCUUAUGCUUGACGGUACCCUCAAAGGAAGCACCGGCUAACUCCGUG
rnacentral:rRNA from 1 species